rnacentral:rRNA from 1 species
UACGUAUGGUGCGAGCGUUAUCCGGAUUUACUGGGCGUAAAGGGAGCGCAGGCGGCGCGCCAAGUCUGAUGUGAAACCCCGGGGCUCAACCCCGGGCAUGCAUUGGAAACUGGCGGGCUGGAGUGCCGGAGAGGUAAGCGGAAUUCCUAGUGUAGCGGUGAAAUGUGUAGAUAUUAGGAGGAACACCAGUGGCGAAGGCGGCUUACUGGACGAUGACUGACGCUGAGGCUCGAAAGCGUGGGGAGCAAACAGG